CCUACGGGAGGCAGCAGUGAGGAAUAUUGGUCAAUGGACGAGAGUCUGAACCAGCCAAGUAGCGUGAAGGAUGACUGCCCUAUGGGUUGUAAACUUCUUUUAUAUGGGAAUAAAAUGUUCCACGUGUGGGAUUUUGUAUGUACCAUAUGAAUAAGGAUCGGCUAACUCCGUGCCAGCAGCCGCGGUAAUACGGAGGAUCCGAGCGUUAUCCGGAUUUAUUGGGUUUAAAGGGAGCGUAGGUGGAUUGUUAAGUCAGUUGUGAAAGUUUGCGGCUCAACCGUAAAAUUGCAGUUGAAACUGGCAGUCUUGAGUACAGUAGAGGUGGGCGGAAUUCGUGGUGUAGCGGUGAAAUGCUUAGAUAUCACGAAGAACUCCGAGUGCGAAGGCAGUUCACUGGACUGCAACUGACACUGAGGCUCGAAAGUGUGGGUAUCAAACAGGAGUAGAUACCCUUGUAGUC
rnacentral:rRNA from 1 species